rnacentral:lncRNA from 10 species
GCUGGCGUGCCCGGGGCUCUCCCACCUCCACCCCUGCUCUUUUGUCUCCUCUCAGCAUGUCUGGCUGGCCCAGACUUGCAAUAUGCCCACAGGCUGGUCCUCCAGGGUUCCAGGGGCCCUCCCAGAAGCUUCCCCCACCUGCUCUGGGUGUGGGCCCUAUGAAUGGGAUCAACAAUGAAUGGUCUGAGCCUACCUUGAACUGGGAGUGUGGCCAACCAAAAUCAGCCCUGCACAGGCUCGGUGUGUCCUUUGGUGGCCCUGGGGCCCCGAGUGAGUGGCUCCUCAGCACACCUCAGGACUCGAACCCCUUCCCACCAUGGCCACAGGUAGUUUUUUGUUUGACAACAGAGGUGAAUCUGGAAGGUCCACACUCAGGAUGUAUAGGCCAUGUAAGCAUGAGUGAGGUGCAACUUAAGCCUUGGUCAUACCUGGUUUCCUUCUGUCAAUCAUUCUUCAUGGGCUCCAUUUUCAUGACAUCUGGUGGGAUUGAACUUGACCAGCUCAAAAAUUGGUAUUG